UGGCGGCAUGCCUAACACAUGCAAGUCGAACGGUAACAGGUCUUCGGAUGCUGACGAGUGGCGCACGGGUGAGUAACGCGUGGAUAUCUGCCUAUGAGUGGGGGACAACUUUCGGAAACGAAAGCUAAUACCGCAUAAUCUCUACGGAGCAAAGCAGGGGACCUUUCGGGGCCUUGUGCUUAUAGAUGAGUCCCGCGUCAGAUUAGCUAGUUGGUAGGGUAAAAGCCUACCAAGGCGAUGAUCUGUAGCUGGUUUGAGAGGAUGAUCAGUCACACUGGAACUGAGACACGGUCCAGACUCCUACGGGAGGCAGCAGUGGGGAAUUUUGCACAAUGGGCGCAAGCCUGAUGCAGCGAUGCCGCGUGUGGGAAGAAGGCCUUUGGGUUGUAAACCACUUUCAAUUGGGAAGAAGGGAUGAGAAUUAAUAAUUCUCUGACUUGACGGUACCUUUAGAAGAAGCACCGGCUAAUUUCGUGCCAGCAGCCGCGGUAAUACGAAAGGUGCAAGCGUUGUUCGGAUUUACUGGGCGUAAAGAGAUCGUAGGUGGUUUGUUAAGUUAGAUGUGAAAUCCCGGGGCUCAACCUCGGAACUGCAUCUAAAACUGGCAGACUUGAGUUCGGGAGGGGUAAGCGGAAUUCCGUGUGUAGCAGUGAAAUGCGUAGAUAUACGGAGGAACACCUGAGGCGAAGGCGGCUUACUGGACCGAUACUGACACUGAGGAUCGAAAGCGUGGGUAGCAAACAGGAUUAGAUACCCUGGUAGUCCACGCCCUAAACGAUGUCAACUAGCCGUUGCGGGUAUCGACCCCUGCAGUGGCGCAGCUAACGCGAUAAGUUGACCGCCUGGGGAGUAC
rnacentral:rRNA from 1 species